rnacentral:rRNA from 1 species
UGCAGUGGCAACACUGCGGAAGACCUAGUGGCGAACGGGUGAGUAACACGUGAGGAACUUGCCCCGGAGACCGGGAUAACCCUCCGAAAGGAGAGCUAAUACCGGAUGUCCUCACCGAGCCGCAUGGCUUGGUGAGGAAAUGGAUUCCGCUCCGGGAGAGCCUCGCGGCCUAUCAGCUAGUUGGUGGGGUAACGGCCCACCAAGGCGUCGACGGGUAGCUGGUCUGAGAGGACGAUCAGCCACACUGGGACUGAGACACGGCCCAGACUCCUACGGGAGGCAGCAGUGGGGAAUCUUGCGCAAUGGGCGAAAGCCUGACGCAGCAACGCCGCGUGCGGGAUGAAGGCCCUCGGGUUGUAAACCGCUUUCAGUGGGGACGAACCAAGACGGUACCCACAGAAGAAGGUCCGGCCAACUACGUGCCAGCAGCCGCGGUAACACGUAGGGACCAAGCGUUGUCCGGAUUCAUUGGGCGUAAAGAGCUCGUAGGCGGUUCGAUAAGUCGGGUGUGAAACCUCCAGGCUCAACCUGGAGACGCCACCCGAUACUGUCGUGACUAGAGUCCAGUAGGGGAGCGUGGAAUUCCUGGUGUAGCGGUGAAAUGCGCAGAUAUCAGGAGGAACACCAGCGGCGAAGGCGGCGCUCUGGGCUGGAACUGACGCUGAGGAGCGAAAGCGUGGGGAGCGAACAGGAUUAGAUACCCUGGUAGUCCACGCCGUAAACGUUGGG